UUUAUUGGAGAGUUUGAUCCUGGCUCAGGACGAACGCUGGCGGCGUGCCUAAUACAUGCAAGUCGAGCGAAUCUGAGGGAGCUUGCUCCCAAAGAUUAGCGGCGGACGGGUGAGUAACACGUGGGCAACCUGCCUGUAAGACUGGGAUAACUCCGGGAAAC
rnacentral:rRNA from 1 species